AACGCUGGCGGCAGGCUUAACACAUGCAAGUCGAGCGGAUGAAAGUAGCUUGCUACUGGAUUCAGCGGCGGACGGGUGAGUAAUGCUUAGGAAUCUGCCUAUUAGUGGGGGACAACGUUCCGAAAGGAGCGCUAAUACCGCAUACGUCCUACGGGAGAAAGCAGGGGACCUUCGGGCCUUGCGCUAAUAGAUGAGCCUAAGUCGGAUUAGCUAGUUGGUAGGGUAAAGGCCUACCAAGGCGACGAUCUGUAGCGGGUCUGAGAGGAUGAUCCGCCACACUGGGACUGAGACACGGCCCAGACUCCUACGGGAGGCAGCAGUGGGGAAUAUUGGACAAUGGGGGGAACCCUGAUCCAGCCAUGCCGCGUGUGUGAAGAAGGCCUUUUGGUUGUAAAGCACUUUAAGCGAGGAGGAGGCUACCUAGAUUAAUACUUUAGGAUAGUGGACGUUACUCGCAGAAUAAGCACCGGCUAACUCUGUGCCAGCAGCCGCGGUAAUACAGAGGGUGCGAGCGUUAAUCGGAUUUACUGGGCGUAAAGCGUGCGUAGGCGGCCAAUUAAGUCAAAUGUGAAAUCCCCGAGCUUAACUUGGGAAUUGCAUUCGAUACUGGUUGGCUAGAGUAUGGGAGAGGAUGGUAGAAUUCCAGGUGUAGCGGUGAAAUGCGUAGAGAUCUGGAGGAAUACCGAUGGCGAARGCAGCCAUCUGGCCUAAUACUGACGCUGAGGUACGAAAGCAUGGGGAGCAAACAGGGAUUAGAUACCCUGGUAGUCCAUGCCGUAAACGAUGUCUACUAGCCGUUGGGGCCCUUGAGGCUUUAGUGGCGCAGCUAACGCGAUAAGUAGACCGCCUGGGGAGUACGGUCGCAAGACUAAAACUCAAAUGAAUUGACGGGGGCCCGCACAAGCGGUGGAGCAUGUGGUUUAAUUCGAUGCAACGCGAAGAACCUUACCUGGCCUUGACAUACAGAGAACUUUCCAGAGAUGGAUUGGUGCCUUCGGGAACUCUGAUACAGGUGCUGCAUGGCUGUCGUCAGCUCGUGUCGUGAGAUGUUGGGUUAAGUCCCGCAACGAGCGCAACCCUUUUCCUUAUUUGCCAGCACUUCGGGUGGGAACUUUAAGGAUACUGCCAGUGACAAACUGGAGGAAGGCGGGGACGACGUCAAGUCAUCAUGGCCCUUACGGCCAGGGCUACACACGUGCUACAAUGGUCGGUACAAAGGGUUGCUACACAGCGAUGUGAUGCUAAUCUCAAAAAGCCGAUCGUAGUCCGGA
rnacentral:rRNA from 1 species